rnacentral:rRNA from 1 species
GACGAACGCUGGCGGCGUGCUUAACACAUGCAAGUCGAACGAUGAAGCCGGAGCUUGCUCUGGUGAAUUAGUGGCGAACGGGUGAGUAACACGUGAGUAACCUGCCCUUGACUCUGGGAUAACUGCUAGAAAUGGUAGCUAAUACCGGAUACGACCCUCUGAGGCAUCUCCAGGGGGUGCAAAGAAUUUCGGUCAAGGAUGGACUCGCGGCCUAUCAGCUAGUUGGUGAGGUAACGGCGCACCAAGGCGACGACGGGUAGCCGGCCUGAGAGGGUGACCGGCCACACUGGGACUGAGACACGGCCCAGACUCCUACGGGAGGCAGCAGUGGGGAAUAUUGCACAAUGGGCGCAAGCCUGAUGCAGCAACGCCGCGUGAGGGAUGACGGCCUUCGGGUUGUAAACCUCUUUUAGCAGGGAAGAAGCGAAAGUGACGGUACCUGCAGAAAAAGCACCGGCUAACUACGUGCCAGCCGCCGCAGUAA